CUUAAAUCUAAUUGGCCCGAGUUUGCAGGCUGGCGCGCCAAAAAGGAGGGGCACAAGAGAAUUUUGGUGGCAACAUAUGUAAAUCACGUUGUGAUCGAUUGACUCUUUUGGAGUAAACAUUGUCGAUCAUCAACUAUGAUAUGCCAGAUUCUGCUGACACUUAUCUCCACCGUGCUCCAAAGAGAUUUGUGGUUGAUUUCAAAGAGCUUCUUAAUUAAGCUUAUCGAUACUUCAACAUAUAUAUGGUGGAUCGUGUGCAAGGCCUUGUUGAUAAAUUGAUGAGUUUAAAGAUAGGAGCUUCGAGCUAAGGCUUCAAUUAAUGCAACCUUUAAAGGUGACUCAAGUGUGGAAGAUAUAUCUGUCGUAAAAUGAAAUCUACUCUGCCGUUUGUUUUUGAAUGAAAAUGUACAUCCUUUAUACUGUUUGUUCUGCGGUCAAUAGUUUUGUUUGUGGGUGAGUGAGUAGGUUAAUGUGAGUAUGAUUGUGGUCACACUAUUUACGGACGUAAGAGCAUUGAGAAGAAUUGAGAAAAGACGACUAGACGAGUCAACCGUUAGACAUACAAGCAACCUUUUUUACGAAUUCCUGCCCAUAUGUCGUGUUGAU